rnacentral:rRNA from 1 species
CAGCCGCCGCGGUAAUACGGAGGGGGCUAGCGUUGUUCGGAAUUACUGGGCGUAAAGCGCACGUAGGCGGCUUGGUAAGUUAGAGGUGAAAGCCUGGAGCUCAACUCCAGAAUUGCCUUUAAGACUGCCGAGCUAGCAGGUGAGAGAGGUAAGUGGAAUUCCGAGUGUAGAGGUGAAAUUCGUAGAUAUUCGGAAGAACACCAGUGGCGAAGGCGGCUUACUGGCUCAUACUGGACGCUGAGGUGCGAAAGCGUGGGGAGCAAACAGGAUUAGAGACCCCAGUAGUCCCUGUCUCUUAUAA